UUUUUAUUUAUCUACUUUAGGGAGGGAAAUUCCACAGGGGCUUAAUAUUUGUGCUGAUUCAGAUGGCUUUUCUCCAGAUCAGAGGCUUUUUGGAAGUACAGUAAUUCAGAAAUGAAAGAUUUUCUGGCUAGAUUGACACCCACGUGAGAUACCGAAGUCAGUGAGAAAAUGCUUACAUUGAAAAAUUGAUUUCUCCAGUGGAAAGCUGUAGGUCUUAUAUUCCUAUAUUAAACGUCUUUUGCAGUUCAAGUAAGUAAUAAUUAAAGGCCUGUUUUUCCCUUUUCUUCCAGUUAAUUUUUUUAUAUAAAUGUGAGUACCCAAAUGAUUAAAUGUAUAAAAAAAUAUGUGUGCAUCUUGUCUUUUUAGAGGUACAACUGAAAAAGAAGGCUAAAAGAUAAUUUUAUCUUCAUGUUUACUCAGACUACUACAACCACGAUUUCCCCUGCAACAUGAAGCAAAUUUUCUAUAAAAGAAAGUGCAGGUAAGAACUGCCAACUGCCUGGGGGAAAAAAUUAUAUUUUAAUUAAUAUUUUUGAAGUAUAUUGAAGUAUAUUUUACUAUUGUGGGAAAGAAAGUUAACGUAGUGCCAGUAGCUGACUAUUUGUUCUGCAUUCUUUUUUAUAGCUAUUCAUCUUUGUAAAAGGAAACAUCUUUUUGGAUAUAUUAGGUUAUGAUGUAUGUGGAGGAAUAUGGGACUGGGGUGACAACAGAGAGACUUGGAAGCUAUGGGCCAGAUGAUACCAGUGAUGAAAAAACGCUCUGGAAUUAUCAAGAACUCAUGUAUGGACUGAGAAGAAAAACACCAGAACCUCAACGCCGUUUGCUGUCACCGCUAAAGACAUGCAAGCAAGCUUGAUAUGCUCCAGGUUUUCCUAUGGCAGUCCAGAACCUACACAGAAGACGAGCAGAGCGUAAUGGUCUGAGGUCUGGAUAAGAAUUGGCAGACUAGAGUGUCCUUAGUCUGAGCCCCAGCAAACAGGAAACCUUUCUAGGUCAGGUCAGCCAGUGGGGCCUUACAUCUGAUAUGGGGAAGAGUUGCCUUUGGUUUUCAUUCAUGCCACACUCAUUAAGCUUUUGGUCAAAAAUAUCACACUUAGCAUGUUCAGUCUUUUAGGUUUAUUUACAACAGAUUCAGAUUUAGUUUUUCCUAUCAGACCUUAUGUUUUGGUAUUUUCUAAAUAAAACAUGUACAUUUAAUAAGAAGUUGUCUGUC
rnacentral:lncRNA from 1 species